rnacentral:rRNA from 1 species
GCUUGCCGGAGGGCUACCAUGCAGUCGAGCGGUAGAGAGGUGCUUGCACCUCUUGAGAGCGGCGGACGGGUGAGUAAAGCCUAGGAAUCUGCCUGGUAGUGGGGGAUAACGUUCGGAAACGGACGCUAAUACCGCAUACGUCCUACGGGAGAAAGCAGGGGACCUUCGGGCCUUGCGCUAUCAGAUGAGCCUAGGUCGGAUUAGCUAGUUGGUGAGGUAAAGGCUCACCAAGGCGACGAUCCGUAACUGGUCUGAGAGGAUGAUCAGUCACACUGGAACUGAGACACGGUCCAGACUCCUACGGGAGGCAGCAGUGGGGAAUAUUGGACAAUGGGCGAAAGCCUGAUCCAGCCAUGCCGCGUGUGUGAAGAAGGUCUUCGGAUUGUAAAGCACUUUAAGUUGGGAGGAAGGGUACUUACCUAAUACGUGAGUAUUUUGACGUUACCGACAGAAUAAGCACCGGCUAACUCUGUGCCAGCAGCCGCGGUAAUACAGAGGGUGCAAGCGUUAAUCGGAAUUACUGGGCGUAAAGCGCGCGUAGGUGGUUCGUUAAGUUGGAUGUGAAAUCCCCGGGCUCAACCUGGGAACUGCAUCCAAAACUGGCGAGCUAGAGUAUGGUAGAGGGUGGUGGAAUUUCCUGUGUAGCGGUGAAAUGCGUAGAUAUAGGAAGGAACACCAGUGGCGAAGGCGACCACCUGGACUGAUACUGACACUGAGGUGCGAAAGCGUGGGGAGCAAACAGGAUUAGAUACCCUGGUAGUCCACGCCGUAAACGAUGUCAACUAGCCGUUGGGGACCUUGAGUCUUUAGUGGCGCAGCUAACGCAUUAAGUUGACCGCCUGGGGAGUACGGCCGCAAGGUUAAAACUCAAAUGAAUUGACGGGGGCCCGCACAAGCGGCGGAGCAUGUGGUUUAUUCGAAGCAACGCGAAGAACCUUACCAGGCCUUGACAUCCAAUGAACUUUCCAGAGAUGGAUUGGUGCCUUCGGAACAUUGAGACAGGUGCUGCAUGGCUGUCCUCAGCUCGUGUCGUGAGAUGUUGGG